AAGAUAACGUAACGAAUCACUACAGUUAUCAAACAUGGUAUCAGAGACAGGUCCAGAUAACGCAUUCUCAGAGAGAUCAAGAAACUGUAAAGAUGUCAUUUUCGAAAAAGAUCCAGGGAUAUUCCCUGAUAAGCCAUUAUGACUAAAGUUGAGAUUUUCAAGAUUUGUCAACAAGGCUAACUCAGGGCUAAUUGCACCAGUAAAGUUGUUGUUUGACAAAGAUAGUACCUUUAAAGAUUGCAACUUCUCGAGCCCCCUACCGAUCUUUCCUGAUAAACUUAAACCAUUUAAGUUGAGCUCAUUGA
rnacentral:misc_RNA from 1 species